GAUGAAGAACGUAGCGAAAUGCGAUAAGUAAUGUGAAUUGCAGAAUUCAGUGAAUCAUCGAGUCUUUGAACGCACAUUGCGCCCCCUGGUAUUCCGGGGGGCAUGCCUGUCCGAGCGUCAUUGCUGCCCUCAAGCACGGCUUGUGUGUUGGGCCCCCGUCCCCGGUUUCCCCCGGGGACGGGCCCGAAAGGCAGCGGCGGCACCGCGUCCGGUCCUCGAGCGUAUGGGGCUUUGUCACCCGCUCUGUAGGCCCGGCCGGCGCUUGCCGAUCAACCAAAUUUUUAUCCAGGUUGACCUCGGAUCAGGUAGGGAUACCCGCUGAACUUAAGCAUAUCAAUAAGCGGAGGA
rnacentral:misc_RNA from 1 species